AAAGGGUGUUUAUUAACCAAUGGCAGGGGGAGGAGCUGAGCCCAGGCUCCCCACUCUGUCACAUGCCUGUUCCACCCACCUGGUUGUAAGUGGGGGCAUUCCUAAAGAAGUGUAGCCAUUCUCACAAUAAAUACAUUCAUUGUGGGGUGGAGGUGGGAGAGAGAGAUGACUAGAUUUUCCACAGACUGGGGCUCCCUGAACACUUGUGUCUCUUCAAUAAUGUGCAUCCCAGAGCCCAGGACUACGGCCUUGUGGAUCCAGCCAUCAGCUGGCAUGGAAAGAGCAGAGAGUUAGACCCCAACUAUGGGAUCUGCUCUCAGCACCCUGCAAGAGGCCUA
rnacentral:lncRNA from 1 species